rnacentral:rRNA from 1 species
UGGUAGUCCACGCCGUAAACGAUGAGUGCUAAGUGUUGGAGGGUUUCCGCCCUUCAGUGCUGCAGCUAACGCAUUAAGCACUCCGCCUGGGGAGUACGACCGCAAGGUUGAAACUCAAAGGAAUUGACGGGGGCCCGCACAAGCGGUGGAGCAUGUGGUUUAAUUCGAAGCAACGCGAAGAACCUUACCAGGUCUUGACAUCCUUUGACCACUCUAGAGAUAGAGCUUCCCCUUCGGGGGCAAAGUGACAGGUGGUGCAUGGUUGUCGUCAGCUCGUGUCGUGAGAUGUUGGGUUAAGUCCCGCAACGAGCGCAACCCUUAUUGUUAGUUGCCAUCAUUCAGUUGGGCACUCUAGCAAGACUGCCGGUGACAAACCGGAGGAAGGUGGGGAUGACGUCAAAUCAUCAUGCCCCUUAUGACCUGGGCUACACACGUGCUACAAUGGGAAGUACAACGAGUUGCGAAGUCGCGAGGCUAAGCUAAUCUCUUAAAGCUUCUCUCAGUUCGGAUUGCAGGCUGCAACUCGCCUGCAUGAAGCCGGAAUCGCUAGUAAUCGCGGAUCAGCACGCCGCGGUGAAUACGUUCCCGGGCCCUUGUACACACCGCCCGUCACACCACGAGAGUUUGUAACCACCCGAAGUCGGUGAGGUAACCUUU